CCCCUCAAUAAUUAUCACAGUGUUUGAUUUUUGUAUGAUAUAUUUCCUUAUAAAAAUAGUCAAAUUCAAAUCGUUAGAAUCAAUUUUUUUACCAAAUUUAUUAAGAAGAAUAAGUUCGUUCAACGUAUCCUUUUGAUUUUUUUUAUGAACUUACAUCACCAUUUUAACUAUAUAAAGGCCUAUUAGCUCUCUCAACAGAAUUCAACAACACCAAAACAUAAGAAUAUUCACAACACUUUUAUCUAUACUAAUACUUCAGAAACACUAAAAAUGAACAAGAUCAGAUCCUUACUUUUUGUUAGCACCAUCACAGUAUUUAUGUUAUUGGCCAUAACAGAACAAAGCGCAGCCGAUGCUGAUCUCUCAUGUUUUGGACCAUGUCCUGCUGAUUGCAAACAAUUUUGCUUGUCGAAAGGUUAUGGUGACGGGUUAUGUGAAGAUUUUAGAGGCAAGCAGGAUUGUUGCUGCACACCAGCAAAGAAGCAAAUCUUUGAGAAAACAACACACAACUAAAUGCAUUUUUGACAUCGUCUUUAAUGUGUAUGGUCAAUAUAUUAAGAAAAUCCCAAUAUAAGAAAUAUUUUUUAAGA